AAUGGGGGAACCCUGAUCCAGCCAUGCCGCGUGUGUGAAGAAGGGCCUUAUGGUUGUAAAGCACUUUAAGCGAGGAGGAGGGUACCUUAGUUAAUACCUAAGAAGUAUNCGGACGUUACUCGCAGAAUAAGCACCGGCUAACUCUGUGCCAGCAGCCGCGGUAAUACAGAGGGUGCAAGCGUUAAUCGGAUUUACUGGGCGUAAAGCGUGCGUAGGCGGCUAAUUAAGUCGGAUGUGAAAUCCCCGAGCUCAACUUGGGAAUUGCAUUCGAUACUGGUUAGCUAGAGUAUGGGAGAGGAUGGUAGAAUUCCAGGUGUAGCGGUGAAAUGCGUAGAGAUCUGGAGGAAUACCGAUGGCGAANGCAGCCAUCUGGCCUAAUACUGACGCUGAGGUACGAAAGCAUGGGGAGCAAACAGGAUUAGAUACCCUGGUAGUCCAUGCCGUAAACGAUGUCUACUAGCCG
rnacentral:rRNA from 1 species